GUGGCGGACGGGUGAGUAAUGUCUGGGAAACUGCCUGAUGGAGGGGGAUAACUACUGGAAACGGUAGCUAAUACCGCAUAACGUCGCAAGACCAAAGAGGGGGACCUUCGGGCCUCUUGCCAUCGGAUGUGCCCAGAUGGGAUUAGCUAGUAGGUGGGGUAACGGCUCACCUAGGCGACGAUCCCUAGCUGGUCUGAGAGGAUGACCAGCCACACUGGAACUGAGACACGGUCCAGACUCCUACGGGAGGCAGCAGUGGGGAAUAUUGCACAAUGGGCGCAAGCCUGAUGCAGCCAUGCCGCGUGUAUGAAGAAGGCCUUCGGGUUGUAAAGUACUUUCAGCGGGGAGGAAGGGAGUAAAGUUAAUACCUUUGCUCAUUGACGUUACCCGCAGAAGAAGCACCGGCUAACUCCGUGCCAGCAGCCGCGGUAAUACGGAGGGUGCAAGCGUUAAUCGGAAUUACUGGGCGUAAAGCGCACGCAGGCGGUUUGUUAAGUCAGAUGUGAAAUCCCCGGGCUCAACCUGGGAACUGCAUUUGAUACUGGCAAGCUUGAGUCUCGUAGAGGGGGGUAGAAUUCCAGGUGUA
rnacentral:rRNA from 1 species